ACCUACCAGACUUUGCAUCACUGCUGUGCUUUGGCUAAACCUUUUAUUUGCCUCCCCAAAGGAUAUAGCGAUAACGCGAUAGCCCGCAAGGACGAGGACGCGCCUUUUUACGCACCACGGUGAGCGAUUAAACAUCAACCCAUGCAUGCAGUCCGCCUUUGCGUAAAGCGUGAAAAUAGACUAACUACUAAAGCCAGUGUACACAGAAAAAAAAACAUGAAGGCAUGUCCAUAACUCACUGGGAAUCUCCAUAGCGGUAUCCGCAUAGCCCCUCACAGGGUCCUCGCGGUUUGGCCCAUAGGUCCGUCUAUUGCCCAUUAAUUGGAAACGAAGCUCUUUUGUGGAUCUCCUGCACUUAUCCGGCGUAUUUAUGGACCAUGUCUUCAACCUGACCCUUGAAAGCCCUGUGGAGCCAGAGUAAAGGAAAUACAUUGAAAUUUCCUGGAAGUCCCCUUUAAGUGUCAUAAAGGACGGGUGUCUCCAAGAAGCUACAGGAGGCUUUUCCAUCAGACAGGAAGUAAAGUAUGUUUGCACAUGUACUAUCAGGAGCCAACAUGCAAUGUCAAGUGACACACAUAGCAUUACUCACACAAAUACCUGGAAACACUGAUAAAACUUAAACACUAUUGUAUGCUUACUAUUUCAUAAGCCUAUGUAAUGUGCACGUACAGCACGGAUGUCUGCAUGUGUACACAAGUGUGCACACACAACACGGUGAGAGGGUAAAAUAUACAAAAUUACAGAAAGUAUUUCAAUUGUAAAAAGAAUGUGACUAUUAGAUUAGUCUAUUUAUAUUUACUAAAUCACUUUGUACCCCAGAGCCAUGACAAACUCUCUAACAUUUAUAGUUUCUCUUAUCAGAAUUGUGAUACAAAAAUGCAAAAAAUUGGAUGUCAUAAGUAGAGAACUGGUAUGCUUUUAAUCGGAAUUUAGUCACUGAGUCCUUUAAAUACAUUUGUAUAUCUAUACACCUUCUGAUAUGAGUCAUCUUUAUAUUGGUCAGUGCAGUGCCUAGCUUAAGACAAUGUUGACAGAUUGUUGUACCGUUUGCUCAAAGUACUGUUUGCUUAUGUCUGAGCCAACAUGAGAGAGAGGAGAGAGAGACAAGGUACGUGCUGCGAGCCAUGCUUUGUGACCAGGGCAGGGGAUUGGGGUGGGAUGUGAGGGAUGUGUGGGAGUGCGGGGGCAGGGGGGUCCAGUCACAGUGACUCCUUGGUUGGAAUGGUACACGGUUAUUGAAUUCAGCAUGAUUUAAAAGAGCUGGGGAAAUAUAAAGUUGGGGAUGAAACCAUAUGCUCUAUUCCUGUGCCUCACUUACACUUUAUUAGUUAAUAAAGAUGGUCAGGGGUGAUGCCAAUAAGCUAAUGAGAGAGGGAGAAUCCUUCUAUAAAGAGGGCAGUGAAAGUGCACAGAUGUUAUGCUGGCGUGUGUGUGUGUGUGUGUGUGUGUGUGUGUGUGUGUGUGUGUGUGUGUGUGUGUGUGUGUGUGUGUGUGUGUGUGUGUGUGUGUGUGUGUGUGUGUGUGUGUGUGUUGCCUUCUCAUCCAGGUUUUGGGCUCGCAGCCAGCUAGGUCUACUCCUCUGGCGCGACACAAGACAGGAAGCUGACAUAAAAGAAUGGGGGGACCGACUGUGAGGGACGCAGGAGCCAAGGCAGGAGCCGCCGACGACGUCGGAAGUUAUUGUUUCAGCUUACAGGCAUCCACAGUGACAAGAAUCUUAUCACUCUGUUGAACUUAUUGUGGUCCCACGGUGAUGGCUACAAGCGUGGAGAGCAUUCCAGGACAGGAACCUCAUCACUGGAGUUCUCCCUAGCUAAAUUUCUGUCUACUACGUGUCUGUAAACUUGGCUGACAAAUAAACCCCAAAUAUUGCAAACAAUACAACACAGUGGUUACAAAAGAACAAAACAAAAAACAAAAGCGUAGAUGACUCCUUUUACAACUAUUCCUGCACAAUGUAAAGAUAAUUGUUUCAUGUUUCAUUGUUUAAGAAUGGAUUAAAUACUAAAUCAAUA